CCUACGGGUGGCUGCAGUGAGGAAUAUUGGUCAAUGGACGAGAGUCUGAACCAGCCAAGUCGCGUGAAGGAUGACUGCCCUAUGGGUUGUAAACUUCUUUUAUAUGGGAGUAAAAUAUUCCACGUGUGCGAUUUUGUGUGUACCCUAUGAAUAAGGAUCGGCUAACUCCGUGCCAGCAGCCGCGGUAAUACGGAGGAUCCGAGCGUUAUCCGGAUUUAUUGGGUUUAAAGGGAGCGUAGGUGGAUUGUUAAGUCAGUUGUGAAAGUUUGCGGCUCAACCGUAAAAUUGCAGUUGAAACUGGCAGUCUUGAGUACAGGAGAGGUGGGCGGAAUUCGCGGUGUAGCGGUGAAAUGCUUAGAUAUCACGAAGAACUCCGAUGGCGAAGGCAGGUCACUGGACUUCAACUGACACUGAGGCUCGAAAGUGUGGGUAGCAAACAGGAUUAGAUACCCCGGUAGUC
rnacentral:rRNA from 1 species